CCAGGUUUAGAACCAAAACCUGGUUGAAACCUCAGAAUUUUUUGGGCCAAAAUCGAAACCUAGGUUUCAAGGCCCAGAAAAUGGGUUUUUGACCCUUUUUUUGUGCUGCCUAUUUUUACCAUUUUACACCUAUUCCAUGAAUUAGUUUCACAAGAAAUUCACCCAAAGUCUUACUUGUGGUUCGGACCCAAGUUUUCUAGUAUAUCCUGACUGUUUUUUAAACACUGACCUCAU